UUGGAGCAUUUGGACGCCCUUGGCUGAAUCCAAGUGGAAAUUGUGCCAUACAGUCUCUGCUAACACUUGAAAGUAGUGAAAAGAGGAAAUUAAAGUUUAUUACAGAAUCUCCCCUAUCUGAUGAUGUUUGAUCAUCACCUGAGAGAGAUACAACCGUUAUGAUUGAUAUCCUGCCUACACUCCCUGUUGGUGGAUUUCCAUACUCAGCACACCUGUUCACACCCAUUUGUGACGAUGGGGUGUGACCACAUGUGCAACAGACAGCACAGAAGGCACAGCAGCAAUGUUGUUCCUACACACAAGAGCAACUCCAACUGGAGGGUCCUCUGAAAAGAGUUCCAAGUAGACGGGGCAUUGCAUGAGAAGGCAGUCUUUCCCAACAAUUAAAUCACCCUGGGAACUUAAAAGCAGUAGCCUUCUGGAUCGGGUACGAUGACUACUACCUGCAAAGCUAAGAAGGCUGAAGCUAAGAAGAAUUUUCAUGAGUGCCUGAUAGCUGCUUUUCUUGGGAUUAACUCGUAACAGCAGAGGGGGAUGGGAGUCAUGGGAUGGGGGAGCUCCUCUGGGCAGGUCUUGCCACGGCCCUAAACCGCUGCCCCAGCUCCAAUCCGAUUAGUCCACAAACCAGCAAAUCCUCAGAGGAAGUGAGUGGACGCAGUACAGUUAGCUGCUCUGAACGCUCUCUGGUGCUGCCUCACCUCCAUCAGACAGCCUGACCUGCUGCCCUGCUCCCUGUCUUACUCGCAUAAAAUUCAUUUUAAUGUUUAUUAUACAUAUACACUUUACUAAACACCCCCUUUUCAGCAUGUAAAAAGUAGUAUAUAAAUUUUAUAAAUGGUAUAACACACUAUAAUGUAGUUUAAGCACAUAUGAGUGCAGCUAUAACUAACUCAACCAUCAGUGGAGAUAUACAAUUAACGCUGUCUAUUUAUGUAUGUAUAUGGAACUGUUGUGAUACUUUCCUAUAUACCUGAUGAAGGUAAAACAGACUGAAAUGUCAUAAAUUAAUAAAUAUUGCAGCAGUAAGUGAGACACCUAUCACAUAUUCAGGUGUGCAGAGACUUUUUAACAAUAACAUAAAAUAUGUCUUCAAGUAAUGAUAGUUGACAAAUACUGUACAUUCAUAAACACAGCUAUGAAAGAAAUAUUAGGAUCUUUAAUUUAAGUAGCAGUAAAAAUACUCUGUUACAUGUAAAAGUUUAUGCACAACAUUUUGUAUUGUGAUUAUUACCCACAAA